rnacentral:rRNA from 1 species
GACGAACUCUGGCGGCGCGCCUAACACAUGCAAGUCGAACGGAGCUUAGAGAGCUUGCUUUUUAAGCUUAGUGGCGAACGGGUGAGUAACGCGUGAGUAACCUGCCCUAGAGUGGGGGACAACAGUUGGAAACGACUGCUAAUACCGCAUAAGCCCACGGUGCCGCAUGACACUGAGGGAAAAGGAUUUAUUCGCUUUAGGAUGGACUCGCGUCCAAUUAGCUAGUUGGUGAGGUAACGGCCCACCAAGGCGACGAUUGGUAGCCGGACUGAGAGGUUGAACGGCCACAUUGGGACUGAGACACGGCCCACACUCCUACGGGAGGCAGCAGUGGGGGAUAUUGCACAAUGGGGGAAACCCUGAUGCAGCGACGCCGCGUGGAGGAAGAAGGUUUUCGGAUUGUAAACUCCUGUCGUUAGGGACGAUAAUGACGGUACCUAACAAGAAAGCACCGGCUAACUACGUGCCAGCAGCCGCGGUAAAACGUAGGGUGCAAGCGUUGUCCGGAAUUACUGGGUGUAAAGGGAGCGCAGGCGGGAAGACAAGUUGGAAGUGAAAACCAUGGGCUCAACCCAUGAAUUGCUUUCAAAACUGUUUUUCUUGAGUAGUGCAGAGGUAGAUGGAAUUCCCGGUGUAGCGGUGGAAUGCGUAGAUAUCGGGAGGAACACCAGUGGCGAAGGCGGUCUACUGGGCACCAACUGACGCUGAGGCUCGAAAGCAUGGGUAGCAAACAGGAUUAGAUACCCUGGUAGUCCAUGCCGUAAACGACGGAAUAUUAGGUGUUGGGGGAUUGACCCCCUCAGCGCCGCAGUUAACACAAUAAUUAAUCCACCUGGGGAGUACGCCCGCAAGGUUGAAACUCAAAGGAAUUGACGGGGGCCCGCACAAGCAGUGGAGUAUGUGGUUUAAUUAGAAGCAACGCGAAGAACCUUACCAGGUCUUGACAUCCGAUGCAUAGCACAGAGAUGUGUGAAAUCCUUCGGGACAUCGAGACAGGUGGUGCAUGGUUGUCGUCAGCUCGUGUCGUGAGAUGUUGGGUUAAGUCCCGCAACGAGCGCAACCCUUAUUGCCAGUUACUACGUUAAGAGGACUCUGGCGAGACUGCCGUUGACAAAACGGAGGAAGGUGGGGAUGACGUCAAAUCAUCAUGCCCUUUAUGACCUGGGCUACACACGUACUACAAUGGCGUUAAACAAAGAGAAGCAAGACCGCGAGGUGGAGCAAAACUCAAAAACAACGUCUCAGUUCAGAUUGCAGGCUGCAACUCGCCUGCAUGAAGUCGGAAUUGCUAGUAAUCGCGGAUCAGCAUGCCGCGGUGAAUACGUUCCCGGGCCUUGUACA